rnacentral:rRNA from 1 species
ACGAACGCUGGCGGCGUGCCUAACACAUGCAAGUCGAACGGAACUGCUUCGAAGGAUUUCUUCGGAAUGACAUUGAUUCAGUUUAGUGGCGGACGGGUGAGUAACGCGUGGGUAACCUGCCGUAUGCAGGGGGAUAACAGUUAGAAAUGACUGCUAAUACCGCAUAAGCGCACAGUAUCGCAUGAUACAGUGUGAAAAACGAUAGUGGCAUACGAUGGACCCGCGUCUGAUUAGCUAGUUGGCGGGGUAACGGCCCACCAAGGCGACGAUCAGUAGCCGGCCUGAGAGGGUGAACGGCCACAUUGGAACUGAGACACGGUCCAAACUCCUACGGGAGGCAGCAGUGAGGAAUAUUGGUCAAUGGGCGAGAGCCUGAACCAGCCAAGUAGCGUGCAGGAAGACGGCCCUAUGGGUUGUAAACUGCUUUUAUAGGGGAAUAAAGUGAGCCACGUGUGGUUUUUGCAUGUACCCUAUGAAUAAGGACCGGCUAAUUCCGUG